rnacentral:rRNA from 1 species
UGUAGAGGGGGGUAGAAUUCCAGGUGUAGCGGUGAAAUGCGUAGAGAUCUGGAGGAAUACCGGUGGCGAAGGCGGCCCCCUGGACAAAGACUGACGCUCAGGUGCGAAAGCGUGGGGAGCAAACAGGAUUAGAUACCCUGGUAGUCCACGCCGUAAACGAUGUCGAUUUGGAGGUUGUGCCCUUGAGGCGUGGCUUCCGGAGCUAACGCGUUAAAUCGACCGCCUGGGGAGUACGGCCGCAAGGUUAAAACUCAAAUGAAUUGACGGGGGCCCGCACAAGCGGUGGAGCAUGUGGUUUAAUUCGAUGCAACGCGAAGAACCUUACCUGGUCUUGACAUCCACAGAACUUUCCAGAGAUGGAUUGGUGCCUUCGGGAACUGUGAGACAGGUGCUGCAUGGCUGUCGUCAGCUCGUGUUGUGAAAUGUUGGGUUAAGUCCCGCAACGAGCGCAACCCUUAUCCUUUGUUGCCAGCGGUCCGGCCGGGAACUCAAAGGAGACUGCCAGUGAUAAACUGGAGGAAGGUGGGGAUGACGUCAAGUCAUCAUGGCCCUUACGACCAGGGCUACACACGUGCUACAAUGGCGCAUACAAAGAGAAGCGACCUCGCGAGAGCAAGCGGACCUCAUAAAGUGCGUCGUAGUCCGGAUUGGAGUCUGCAACUCGACUCCAUGAAGUCGGAAUCGCUAGUAAUCGUAGAUCAGAAUGCUACGGUGAAUACGUUCCCGGGCCUUGUACACACCGCCCGUCACACCAUGGGAGUGGGUUGCAAAAGAAGUAGGUAGCUUAACCUUCGGGAGGGCGCUUACCACUUUGUGAUUCAUGACUGGGGUGAAGUCGUAACAAGGUAACCGUAGGGGAACCUGCGGUUGGAUCACCUCCUU